rnacentral:rRNA from 1 species
GCAAGUCGAGCGCGCCCUUCGGGGUGAGCGGCGGACGGGUGAGUAACGCGUGGGAAUAUGCCCUUCUCUAAGGAAUAGCCUCUGGAAACGGAGAGUAAUACCUUAUACGCCCUUUGGGGGAAAGAUUUAUCGGAGAAGGAUUAGCCCGCGUUAGAUUAGGUAGUUGGUGGGGUAAUGGCCUACCAAGCCUACGAUCUAUAGCUGGUUUGAGAGGAUGAUCAGCCACACUGGGACUGAGACACGGCCCAGACUCCUACGGGAGGCAGCAGUAGGGAAUCUUAGACAAUGGGGGCAACCCUGAUCUAGCCAUGCCGCGUGUGUGAUGAAGGCCCUAGGGUCGUAAAGCACUUUCGCCAGAGAUGAUAAUGACAGUAUCUGGUAAAGAAACCCCGGCUAACUCCGUGCCAGCAGCCGCGGUAAUACGGAGGGGGUUAGCGUUGUUCGGAAUUACUGGGCGUAAAGCGCACGUAGGCGGAUUAGUAAGUUAGAGGUGAAAUCCCAGGGCUCAACCCUGGAACUGCCUUUAAUACUGCUAGUCUUGAGUUCGAGAGAGGUAAGUGGAAUUCCGAGUGUAGAGGUGAAAUUCGUAGAUAUUCGGAGGAACACCAGUGGCGAAGGCGGCUUACUGGCUCGAUACUGACGCUGAGGUGCGAAAGUGUGGGGAGCAAACAGGAUUAGA